AGCCCAGCGCCGAAUCCGCCGCGGCCUACAGCCCGGCCGGAACUGUGGCGUGCGGGACGUGGCCAGUCGAUCGGGAGCGUACCCGAGUCCCCCCGAGCGGGGCCCAUCCCAUAGCGGGUGCCAGGCCUCUGCAGGUACGCAUCCGACCGGCCGCUACCGUCCCCGGAGUCGGGUCGCUUGGGAAUGCAGCCCGAAGCGGGUGGUAAACUCCACCUAAGGCUAAAUACCGGCGCGAGUCCGAUAGCGGACAAGUACCGCGAGGGAAAGUUGAAAAGAA
rnacentral:rRNA from 1 species